CCUACGGGUGGCAGCAGUGAGGAAUAUUGGUCAAUGGACGAGAGUCUGAACCAGCCAAGUCGCGUGAAGGAUGACUGCCCUAUGGGUUGUAAACUUCUUUUAUAUGGGAAUAAAAUGCUCCACGUGUGGGAUUAUGUAUGUACCAUAUGAAUAAGGAUCGGCUAACUCGGUGCCAGCAGCCGCGGUUAUUCGGAGGCACCGAGCGUUAUUCGGAUUUAUUGGGGUUAAAGGGAGCGUAGGUGGAUUGUUAAGUCAGUUGUGAAAGUUUGCGGCUAAACCGUAAAAUUGCAGUUGAAACUGGCAGUCUUGAGUACAGUAGAGGUGGGCGGAAUUCGUGGUGUAGCGGUGAAAUGCUUAGAUAUCACGAAGAACUCCGAUUGCGAAGGCAGUUCACUGGACUGCAACUGACACUGAGGCUCGAAAGUGUGGGUAUCAAACAGGAUUAGAUACACUAGUAGUC
rnacentral:rRNA from 1 species